ensembl:lincRNA
CGCUCAUGGUCACAAGGGUGUUUUGGUUUUGUCCUUCUUAAAAGCAGGCUGUGAUCUGAACUUGUCACCACUGAAACUUAGGAGAGGAUUCCCUUCAACAUGGAUUCACUGAAUGCAUAAGGUGCUCCACUGAGUUGAAAGAACUCAAGCAGUCAGAUGGGCAUGUGCAGAAAGGACCCAAGCAUGGAAGAGCUCCAUGAACAAGACCUCACUGCCCUUGGACUUCUUCUUCUGUUGACGUCACUGGCCACAAACUCCCAGCCUGGAUGGGUAUAUUCAAAGCCAACCAAGGAUGGGAAGCUUUAGAAGGGAAGCUGGGAUUAGUUUUCUGUCUUUACUGAACUGUGAAGACGUCCAGCCCAGAUAAGAUUUGCCUCUAUUUGGCCUAACUGGUGUAGUCCCAGAACCUCAUGAGCAAGUAAUCUAAAUCUCAUUCAUUUAAACAAUGUAAAUAUCUAUGAUCCCAAUGACCAGUGAGUGUUAACUCCCUCCAUUGUUAUUCUGGUUCACUACAUAAGAAACUUGCAUUUGGGAAAUGUGGAACAGAGUAACUGUUGCUCCGGUCCACCUCUGGCUUCUCCCAGAUGAUCUAGCCAAUUAGAGUAAGAUGAAGGUAUUUGACUCAACUGUAAAUUUUCAGCAAAUAAAAAUUUAAAAUUUAAACUUAAGUAUCUAAUUGGACUCAGAUUAUGCCAAGGGUAAGCAAUCUGCUUUUAGUUACUUGAUUUAAAAGAUUGUUUUGAAAUGUAUUUUAUUUUUAAACUAAGAUUUAUGGAUAGAUUUUCCUUUAACACUACUCCCUCUUUCAAAGCUUCUAGAAGAUGCAGACAAUUUCUCCUCCUGGACCGUGAGGGCUGGUGGAUUCAAGAAUAUUCACUUCUUGAAAAAUGACUGGAGCCUUUUAUAAAGCAUGAAGGAUAACUAAGACCUUCCUCAGCUCUCCAUAGUCUUAUUAAUAUUUGCAAAAAUGCAUGUGGAGAAGUUGCUUGACAAGCAAAGGAAGAAGCAGGCCCCUGGGUGCCAAGACAGAGUUGCUGUCCUGCCAGCAUGCGUUCUCAGGAAGGUGGAUUUGGGUGCGUCCAUUAAUUGGAGAGCUAUUUCUUUUGAUUUGAUCCCCUACCCCAUCCUCUCUGUAGGAAUCCAGGGUUUACAACGUGACCAUCCUGGCACCCACUUCUCCUUUGCCUGGGGUGCCUUACCCAGCCCUGCGUGCACAAGGCGCCCUCAGCUUCACCCAAGUCUUGAAAGACUUUUCGGGUUAUGACAUUCCCCUAAAUGUGCUGAGCUUUCCUUAACCUUUCAUAAAACAUUGUGAUCUUUAUGGACUGUAUCAUAUUGUGCAGUAAUGUGCUUUAUUGUGCACAGAAUAAGCUUUUCUUAAAGAUAAUUGGAAAGCUGGAAAUGGCUGCUAUCGGCCGAUUUUUAAAAAAAAUACAUUAUUUCUGAAAUAGGGCUGGUGUAAUAAUGACCCUAUCUGUUCAAGAUUUAAGAUUUGUCUUGGCAGAGAAAAUUGAUCCAUUUCACCUUUGUCUAAUGGAAAUUUUUAUCUAGGAUUAUCUGUUUAUGUAAAUGAAUGUCCCUGUGAAGAGGGAACUUGAGGAGGCUGUAAAUCUUGGUGACACCUCAGUCUCAUAGGGGAGAAAUUGGAAAGGAUUCUAGUAUUUAUCUGCCCGAAAUUGGUUAUAAAAACAAAAUUAUCUUCAUGUACCUGCAGCAUCUGAUGUUUUCUGAAAUUUCAUUAUAUUUCUGAAUAAUUCAGGGAGCCGUGGGAAUAGAGUUUUGACAUGACCUCAAUUGCAAAUUGUUUUUACUUUUUAAAUUUUAUAGUCACCUGCUAAUGUGCUUCUUUUCCUACCUUUUUAAGGGUGAGAGUGUUUUCUACAUCGUUGUAGGAGUCUUUGUUCAUGCUAGGCUGGUUAUCUGUGGGUAAACAAAAUGAACUGUAUUAGCAGAAUAUCUACCAAUUUUCUCUCUAAAAAUAUCACAGCUACUAUAAAUUCUAUCUGUGGGCCAAAAUCCUGGGGUCUGAAUCAUAAUUGCUGUACAUUUCAGCAAUGUGUUUUCAUGGUGAUUGCUGGCCACACUGACUUGCUCUCAUAUGGUAGUGGAAGUUGCCAUGUAACAACUUUAAAAGGUAACAGCAUGUGACACAUUCUUUCUCUUCAAAUCAAAGAGAAAAACAAAGAAAGGCCAAAAAGAAAUAUUUACUAAUGUUACUUCUUGCUUCCUUCUUUGAAAAUAUAUGUGUAAUUUCUUUCUAGGGACUGCUAACUUCAUUAUCCAAUGCCUGGUGGUGGUCCAUUGUCUUUGUUCCGUUAGCAGCCAUUGUCUCUUAAGUCCCCCCCCCCUCAUUUACACAAUAUCUUAACUAUUUCAUCAGGACUCAAACAAAUAGUAUUAUGUUGCAUUGAAGCUGAUGUAAAUGUAAUAUUUAAUGGUGGGAACACAGGGACUGAAAAUUGUCCAGAACUUGUAGUUUUCUUUUUUGCCUUUUUAAGGAUGAGAUUCUUUCCCAAUAAGCAGUGUGGAGUGAGCAGCCAGAAGUGGUGUUUGCCGUCUGGAUUAUCCACUAUACCAUCGUUAUGCCUGCAGACAUGUGUUUCAUUGCUGUCAGUAGGCUCAAUAAAAUUGGCAAAAGUAAAAAAUAAAUGCUAUUUUGGAAACUC